GUUCAAAAGGCAGAGCAAAGCCAGUGGAGCUCCCUGAGACGGCAGGUGUUUACGGGACAGAUCUGUCACUGGGGGGUGGUAGUCAGUUCAAGGCCUGUUGCUAAUGCUACAUGACAGUUUGGCAUUUGAGACAUGAGCACUGGAGUGACGGAGGAGGAUCAGGAAGGCCACGUUUACCAGGAGAGUAAUGGCAUCUGAAAGGAUGCUGCAGCUGGUGUGAGACGGACUACAUCUCGAUGAGUUGGCAGGCGACAUCAUCUGGGUGCAGUAAUGCCUCAGAAACACAAAGAGCCCCAUUCAGAGUCCUCAGGAGCAGUAUCCCACACCCACACUGUCAAGAGGACACCCAGACCCAUCCAGCACACAGCCUGGAGUCAUUAUGGAAAGCAAUGUGUACUUACACAGCAGUAGAACAUUCACAGGAAAACAUUAAGCAGUGAAGGAACGCUUGAAGAGGAAACAAGAGCAAAAGGAUAAAACAAAAACCUGGCGCUCACCACAUCUGUCCAGGAGCUGUCUCCCUCCUGCCAUCUCAACCACAGUGAUUUACGUUCAUCAAACAUUCACAGGGAUUGUUCCCACAGACUACAACAACAUCUUCGGCUAUCCGAGGGACUCAGGGGGUCCACAUAACAUGUGUAAAGUGAGAGUGGAGCUUUCCUGGACAGAGAUGGAGUCAGCAGAGAUCUCAGAGGCAGACAGAGAGGCCCCAGUCUCUGUGAACCUCAAGACAGAGACAAACAAUGGAAAAACAAUAUUAAUGGGGAGCGCCACCAAGUUUACACACCAAAGUCAUGCUCACAGUUCCUUGGGGAGUUAUACUGCAUAUGUGAAAAAAAGUUGUAUAAAGCCUUUGCGGCUGUGCAAGGUCUAAUUAAAUAAAAAAAAGUGUAGUCACUUGAUUCAGCGACUACAAAACACAAAAAGGUUUUUUUAAAAAGAUUUAUAAAGAAGUGAGCAUACCAGACCUCUGCAGCCUGACUAGCAUAACAUGUAACACACACAAAUCUAGAAGCCAACUGUCAGCAGCAGUUACAUUAUGGGUAAAGACGGCACCAGGUUUUGACAAGAAAGAAAAAUGCCUGACAUAAAACAUUCAAUCUCUGGUUCUGUUGCAUUGAUUUUGAUUUUAUAUGUAUCAUAAAUAAGAAAUAUGAUACAGGUGUAUGUCAUCUUUGUUUGAUGUUUUGUGCUUCUUGCUAUGGGCUUGUUUCUGGUGCGAGUUUCUUAAUGAGAUUCACAAAGUGCAAAGAUCCUUAAUUUUUGAAUGAGUGUGACUCCCUGGGUGAGACAAAAUCUACUGAGUGGACGCCAAGGUUGGAAAUCAUCAAAGACCCUUAUAUCAAGCACACUGAACCGUUCCCGUUGUGCAAUAAAUCUGAAAUUUUAUUUGGCUUCGCAGUGACUGCGAUGAAAUACGACACUUAGAGCUCCACUACUGCAGCAGCUCACAGCUCAGUACAAUGCAGCUUCUCACUUCUGAAAGCUGCUGAUUCUUCAUGUAAUCCCACACCGAUGCACUCAAGGCUAGGCAAUUGACUCUACCCAUGAAAUAUUCAUAUGAAGAUGUUUUGAAACACAUUUGCAUUUAUUAAGUUACUCCGUCUAAAUAAUGGAAGGUUUUCAGUGCAUUAAAAACCUUUUUAACAUAUUGUGUAAUCUGUCACCUCCUAAUUACCAGCGUUUUAAAGAUAAAUUUAGCACUAAAAGUAAGGAAAUAUGUGUUUGGUAGAUUAUUUCUCUGUGGUAACAUUAUUUUUUGGGCAUUUUGGGCCAUUAUUUCCACAGGACAGAUGAAGACAUGAAAGAGGAGAGACCCCAAAUGUCAUUUGUAAGGAACAUGCAUUUGUGGAAUGAGCAGCAGUGCUGAGUCACGGUGCUUGUCAUCAUUGGCAAUCUCAAUGAAGAGAGCUAAAGAAAUUAAAUUCUGCAACCAGCUGCAAUCCCAUAUCUCCACAGUCUGGGACUGAACUCUAUCCUCCACGCUCACCCCCAAAGGGCGGGGUUUAUCAGCGACGACCUCCAGAAUGUGGGAGUGGAGAGGAUGGAAGGGCCUACUAGCAGCCCCAACCUCAACCCCUUCAACACUUGUGUGUACUUGUCAGAGUGACCAACACAACCACACUGGCUGACUUGCGACAAAUGCUGGUUGAAGAAUGGGAUGUCAUCCCACAGCAGUGUGUGACCAGGCUGGUGACCCGUAUGAGGAGGAGGUGCCAGGCUGUGUAUGGUUCUUCCACACGCUACUGAGGUGUUUGUGAAAUGAAUAAAUUGUUAAAUUAUCAAUAUGUCUUGUUUCUUCAAACUUCAAUCAUCCAAUCCACCAAACACCAGAAGAGUCAAUGGCAGAAUAAGCUGUUUGGUGUUAGCAGAGAAGAUUUGGCCCAUUUUUCAUGGGCACAACCCACCCAACAUUACUCAGGGCUGUUGCUCAUCCCACAAAUGCAUGUUCCUUACAAAUGGGGCACCAUCUGAAAGGGAACUAAACACUCUUUCCAACGGUAUAAGAUCUAUUGCCGAAAAGCAUCGUUACCACAGAGAAAUGAUCUAACAAACACAAAUGUCCUUACUUUUCGUGCUAAGUUUAGAAAUUAUUUAG